UACGUAGGGAGCAAGCGUUGUCCGGAAUCAUUGGGCGUAAAGCGCGCGUAGGCGGCCUCGUAAGUCCGUUGUGAAAGUCAAAGGCUCAACCUUUGAAAGCCGAUGGAUACUGUGAGGCUAGAGUCCGGAAGAGGAGAGUGGAAUUCCUGGUGUAGCGGUGAAAUGCGCAGAUAUCAGGAAGAACACCAAUGGCGAAGGCAGCUCUCUGGGACGGUACUGACACUGAGACGCGAAAGCGUGGGGAGCGAACAGG
rnacentral:rRNA from 1 species